AUAAACUUAGGUUAAAUAAACCGUCAGUUUGUGACACUGAAAAUAGUAGUUAAAUCCUACUCGUAUAUC
rnacentral:tRNA from 1 species